CUAGCCACAGAUGACACGCUAAUCUUUAGGCUAUUGCUGAACAGUGCUCUCACAACUACAACACUUUCUCUGCCCCUUCAUCCCCCGAAUGUCAGAAGUUUGGGGUGGGCAGGAGUUCAGGAGGAGACACAGCUGGAACAGCUGGUCCAAACUGGCUAGUAGGAUAUCCCAUGACAUCUGGGACAAUAAGCCCAGGAAAGGGCAUGGCUGAGUCAUCAUCCCUGAGAUAUUUAAAAUACAUGUAGAUUUGGCAUUUAGGGAGAUGUUUUCAUGUUGUAUUUGGCUUUGUUAGGUUUACAACUGGACUCAAUUAUCUUAAAGACCUUUUCCAACCUUAAUUAUUCUAUGGUUAUAUGAAUUCAUGCCUGGCAAUAAAAGUUCAAGCAAAGGAGAGACAUUUGUGGCUUUGAAAUUUGCCUACUCAAGUAACUGUUAACUGUGCUGAGUCUCUUCUUUCCAUUGAGUCUUUCCAGUGGAUACCUGUCUGCCUCCCAAAAAGAGAGGAAUGUGUGAAAGUCAGGGGAAAACUCGCCACAGCACUUUUUAGCACUCAAAAUGAAGCUUGAGGAAUUCAAGUGGUCGGGUGGAAAUAUGGUAUUUGUGUGGCAAGGCUUUGACAGUAACACAUGGUGCUGGAAUGGACACAGCUGGUGCAAGCUCUCUCCUGUAAUUUCACUGUAAGAUAUGGCUGAACCUGCCCAGCAAAGACGGUGGCACCUUGACAGAGAAGUGUGAGACAAAAUGUGAGAGAUACAGACCUGCAGACACCAAGGCCUGAUAAGAAGGAAUAGGUGACCCAGUGACCAGGGCCCAGAUUCCCCUGCAGUUGGUGGUGGAGGCAAUGGUGAGGCAGUUUGUUCCACACCGUACGUUCUGAAGCACUGCAGCUGCAGCCGGGAACACGUCCACAAGGAACACGCAGCCCAGAGAGUGACUGCAGGAACAGGCACCUGGCAGGAGAGCUGAGCUGUUAUCCCAACAAAACCCAACUGUUUUUAGAAGGAGAAUGCAUGUAACAAGAUUUAGACAAAUACAUAGGUCCUUUAAAUCUUAAAAUACCACUGACAAAAAAGAGAUUAAACCAGAUACUCUAAAUCUUAAACUGCCAUUUUCAGCAAAACAAACAAUGCAGUGCAGUUCUAAAUAACAUAAAUAGAAAAAUUAAUAGCAUUACAUUAAUCGGUAGAUUUUUUACUUGGUAGUAAAUUCCAUAAGCAAUAUUUAUGUUGCUUUGAGGUGGAUGUAUGCUAGCAUAAAUAGUUAUUGAACGGGACAUGGAUUCAUAUAUUACAAUAGAUUAUAACUGCUGGCACACAUGAAACACACAUUAAAGUUUAACAGACUCCAGAAAUCAUGGGUUCUGCUGACUGUGUUUCAUGAAAGCUUAUGCAGAAAGUUUAUGAUGAAGUAUCCUUUUUCUUCCCUGUGGAAAACCAUUCAGGAUCUUCAUUGUUCCAGCAUCAUAAGUACUUGUUUACUUGUUAUGAACAAAUAUUGAUAAUUUACCAAGAAGAGUAGAUACAUUUUUAGGUUGAUUAUUAUGAUUCAUAUAAAGAAGGUCUUUCUUGAUAAGGUUGCUGAAGUAGUUAUAUUCUUUUGUCUCAUGUUUUUCUUUUUAGUGAUAUUACUACUCUCCAGAAGUUUAUUUAUAAAACUCUUUUCCAUUUUGCUAUUUUUAAACAAGGAAAAAAGACCUGAAGUAAAAGACCAAAAUUAAUUUAAUAAAGUAUUUAAAAUUACACCCUUUUUGGUCAGCAAUAAGCUGACCAGUAAAAUAGCAUGUAAAUGUAAAAUGGAGCCUACAAUAACUAAAUUGCUUUAGUAGUAACUUGCCAACAGUGAUGAAAGAUGAAAAUGACAAAUUCUUUUAGAAGUCUAAUAAAAGAGCAAUAUUUCUAUUCUAAUAAAAAUAUUUUAGAUAAACUCUGCUUGGCAGUUGUUAAUGAGCAUGUAUUUCUGAACCUUGUACUUUUCAGGACACAAACACCAUACAUAGGCAAAUAAACUCUUGAGUUAGAGAAAACAAAGCCAAAUCAAUGCUUUGAUGGAAUGUGGAAUACAUUGUGAAAGGUCUGCCAUUGAAUCGGGAAUGUCACAUGUGUCACUUCUACACCAUCAGUAACCACACCCCAUUUGCCAUCAUUAAGACAAGACUGACAAAAUAUUUCAGCUUUCUGGAGCAAAAGGUUUGUUUGGUAUUUGAUUUGGUGAGUCAAUGUACAGAGAUACUUAGAAAUGUUUUAUUUCUCAUAUAGAAUCCAGAUGAACAUUAUAUGUGUUUGGAAAGUCAGUCAUUGCUGAGUAAUGUGUUAAAUCCGUCACAUAAGCAGUUUAUGACAAAGAGAUGGAGAAAGAUUGCUCAUGCAGCUAAUGAAGUUGGGUAAGCUGGACAGACAUCUUAAGGCUAGUUAAUUUUUUUUUUCCGUUUUGUACAGGGAUGAGUAGUCAAUCCACAAAAUUUAGAGGAGGUCUGUUAAGUACAAGUGGUGGUUAUGGUGGUACUUUGUAUUAAGUGAAAGCAAUUAAGGACAUAAUUAAAGAUGAAGGCAUACGAAUACUAUCAAAUGGAAACUGUAAUGCAAGGAACAAGUAAUGGGAGUAAGAACUUUGUCACAGAUUUAAAGUAACUGGUAGUAUAGAAAGAUCCCAAGUUGUUGACUAAGCUUAAUGAAACUGCUUUGCAAUGAAGCAGAGCAGCUGGAUAUCAUGAAAGGAGGAGUAAUUAAUUUGUUGGUGAAACAUGAAAACAUAUAAUCAGUGAAGAAACUGUGAAUAACGGUGAGUGGUUUGGUCAAAUUCAUCAUAGUAUAAAGAAAACUUGGAUAGGACUAAGUUCUCUGAAACAGCAUUUUCUAAACUGCUUUGUAAGAGGGCAAACUAGCUUCAGCUUAAUACUGCCUUCCCUACACUGUCCUCUACAAAUAUGCAAUAAAUGUUGGUAUUAACAAAUGGUAUGGAAAACGUCUUUGUACAGAUCAUGGUUAUGGGCCCUUCUGAAUUGCAAGUUUUAUAUGCUAGCAAUCAUGUUAAUCUUUUUUAGCCAUUGUAGAAAUAGAAAUUUUGAUAUGAAACUCUGAAGCCAAUGGCAAAAAUCCCCUUAAUUUCAGUUGGGAUUGUUUCCAGUUAGGAGUUUAUUAAAGUGUUUGCUUUGAAUUUGACUUCCACCUUUAAAUGCCUACUGCCAAGUCACUUCUUUAGUGCCUAAAUACAAAGGAGACACGGAAAUUUAUUUAAUUUUGUUUCUGAGAGGCUGCAUUUCUGUAGCUGGCCCUGAACUAAUGGAUGUGAGGAGCUGUAAGCACUCAGUCUGCCUUACUAUUAAACUCAUGUUUUCUAAUAUAAUUGACAGCCUUCUCAUGAAAAAGCAAUUUAAAACCUUCAUAAAGCAGAAAGCAGAGUCUGAGAAAAACAUCUGUAUUGUGUUGUAUUUUUAAGGACUGAAAUUUGUUUGAGUUGUGGGUUAUCGUUACCAAUUUGUAUUGGACUGUCUGCAUCUAUGUACGUAUAUAUUGCUUUCAAUCCUCUCCCCCAUGACUUCCUGUUAUAAUAUAAAGUUUUAAAAAUUACUUUAA